rnacentral:rRNA from 1 species
AUUGAACGCUGGCGGCAGGCCUAACACAUGCAAGUCGAACGGUAACAGGAAACAGCUUGCUGUUUCGCUGACGAGUGGCGGACGGGUGAGUAAUGUCUGGGAAACUGCCUGAUGGAGGGGGAUAACUACUGGAAACGGUAGCUAAUACCGCAUAACGUCGCAAGACCAAAGAGGGGGACCUUCGGGCCUCUUGCCAUCGGAUGUGCCCAGAUGGGAUUAGCUAGUAGGUGGGGUAACGGCUCACCUAGGCGACGAUCCCUAGCUGGUCUGAGAGGAUGACCAGCCACCCUGGAACUGAGCCACGGUCCAGACUCCUACGGGAGGCAGCAGUGGGGAAUAUUGCACAAUGGGCGCAAGCCUGAUGCAGCCAUGCCGCGUGUAUGAAGAAGGCCUUCGGGUUGUAAAGUACUUUCAGCGGGGAUGAAGGGAGUAAAGUUAAUACCUUGGCUCAUUGACGUUACCCGCAGAAGAAGCACCGGCUAGCUCCGUG